UACGUAGGGCGCAAGCGUUGUCCGGAAUUAUUGGGCGUAAAGAGCUCGUAGGUGGCGUGUCGCGUCUGCCGUGAAAGCCCAUGGCUUAACUGUGGGUCUGCGGUGGAUACGGGCAGGCUAGAGGCUGGUAGGGGCAAGCGGAAUUCCUGGUGUAGCGGUGAAAUGCGCAGAUAUCAGGAGGAACACCGGUGGCGAAGGCGGCUUGCUGGGCCAGUUCUGACGCUGAGGAGCGAAAGCGUGGGAGCAAACAGG
rnacentral:rRNA from 1 species